rnacentral:rRNA from 1 species
CCUACGGGUGGCAGCAGUGGGGGAUAUUGCACAAUGGGGGAAACCCUGAUGCAGCGACGCCGCGUGGGGGAAGGAGCGUUUCGGCGUGUAAAGUCCUAUUGGUAGGGAAGAAGAUGACGGUAUCUGACGAAUAAGCACCGGCUAACUACGUGCCAGCAGCCGCGGUAAUACGUAGGGGGCAAGCGUUACCCGGAUUUACUGGGCGUAAAGGGGGCGCAGACGGGAUAGCAAGUCAGGUGUGAAAGCCUAGGGCUUAACCACAGGACUGCAUUUGAAACUGGAUGUCUAGAGUAUGGGAGGGGCAGGCGGAAUUCCUGGUGUAGGGGUAAAAUGCGUAGAGAUUAAGAGGAACACCGAUGGCGAAGGCGACCUGCUAGACUGUAACUGACGCUGAUGCGCGAAGGCGUGGGGAGCAAACAGGAUUAGAUACCCCAGUAGUC